UGGAUCCAGCUUUGAUUCUGGCUCAGGAUGAACGCUAGCUACAGGCUUAACACAUGCAAGUCGAGGGGCAGCGGGAUUGAAGCUUGCUUCAAUUGCCGGCGACCGGCGCACGGGUGUGUAACGCGUAUCCAACCUUCCGUACACUCAGGGAUAGCCUUUCGAAAGAAAGAUUAAUACCUGAUAGUAUCUUAAGCACACAUGUAAUUAAGAUUAAAGAUUUAUCGGUGUACGAUGGGGAUGCGUUCCAUUAGGUAGUAGGCGGGGUAACGGCCUACCUAGCCAACGAUGGAUAGGGGUUCUGAGAGGAAGGUCCCCCACAUUGGAACUGAGACACGGUCCAAACUCCUACGGGAGGCAGCAGUGAGGAAUAUUGGUCAAUGGACGAGAGUCUGAACCAGCCAAGUAGCGUGAAGGAUGAAGGUCCUACGGGUUGUAAACUUCUUUUAUAAGGGAAUAAACCCUCCCACGUGUGGGAGCUUGUAUGUACCUUAUGAAUAAGCAUCGGCUAACUCCGUGCCAGCAGCCGCGGUAAUACGGAGGAUGCGAGCGUUAUCCGGAUUUAUUGGGUUUAAAGGGAGCGCAGACGGGUCGUUAAGUCAGCUGUGAAAGUUUGGGGCUCAACCUUAAAAUUGCAGUUGAUACUGGCGUCCUUGAGUGCGGUUGAGGUGUGCGGAAUUCGUGGUGUAGCGGUGAAAUGCUUAGAUAUCACGAAGAACUCCGAUUGCGAAGGCAGCACACUAAUCCGUAACUGACGUUCAUGCUCGAAAGUGUGGGUAUCAAACAGGAUUAGAUACCCUGGUAGUCCACACGGUAAACGAUGGAUACUCGCUGUUGGCGAUAUACUGUCAGCGGCUUAGCGAAAGCGUUAAGUAUCCCACCUGGGGAGUACGCCGGCAACGGUGCAACUCAAAGGAAUUGACGGA
rnacentral:rRNA from 1 species